GUGACAGCAGCCGCGGUAACACGGACCGCACGAACGUUAUUCGGUAUCACUGGGCUUAAAGGGUGCGUAGUCGGCCUGCCAAGUUGGGUGUGAAAGCCCUCGGCUCAACCGAGGAAUUGCGCUCAAUACUGGUGGGCUCGAGAGAGACAGAGGUAAGCGGAACUAAUGGUGGAGCGGUGAAAUGCGUUGAUAUCAUUAGGAACACCGGUGGCGAAGGCGGCUUACUGGGUCUUUUCUGACGCUGAGGCACGAAAGCCAGGGGAGCGAACGGGAUUAGAUACCCCCGUAGUCC
rnacentral:rRNA from 1 species